rnacentral:rRNA from 1 species
UACCAGCUCUCCGAGUGGUAGGGAUGAUUAUUGGGCUUAAAGCGUCCGUAGCCGGCUUAGCAAGUUUCCUGUUAAACUCAGCGACUCAAUCGUUGACCCGCGGGAAAUACUACUAGGCUAGGAGGCGGGAGAGGUCGACGGUACUUCUGGGGUAGGGGUGAAAUCCUAUAAUCCCGGGAGGACCACCAGUGGCGAAGGCUGUCGACUAGAACGCGCUCGACGGUGAGGGACGAAAGCUGGGGGAGCGAACCGGGAUUAGAUACCCGGGUAGUCCCAGCCGUAAACGAUGCGAGCUAGGUGUUGGGAUGGCUACGUGCCAUUUCAGUGCCGCAGGGAAGCCAUUAAGCUCGCCGCCUGGGGAGUACGGCCGCAAGGCUGAAACUUAAAGGAAUUGGGCGGGGGAGCACCACAAGGCGUGAAGCUUGCGGUUC